rnacentral:lncRNA from 1 species
CCUUGAGCCCAAAGCCCAAAGCAAAAAUUAAAUUAUGCAAAUGGCUAAUCUGAACAAGAAGCAAUCACAUAAGCCCAAAAUGUAAACUAACCAUGAACUUUCUUUUAAGCCAAACACCAAACCGGAAUUAAAACCACAUUAAUCACAUUAACGAAAAUCCAAUUCAAACUAACUAACAGAAAAUUCCAUAAUCUUAAAAUAAAAUUAAGAGAAAAAUAACAACGAAUGGAAACUUGCAAAAAAAAACUGAAAGAUUUACAGAAUGGCCUCUAAAAUAGCUUAAAGGGAACAACCGGGUUCAGAACAUUUCAAUAAACUCACACAGAAGACAGGCCUUUCCAAUAAUUACAGAAGAAGAAGGGAAGGAAGAGCAAAGACGAAAGAAAUGGACAAAGAAAGAAAGAGAACUCACUUAGCAACUCAAACUCGCGACUGACUUUCGAUUUAAACCGCAAAAUAAUAUUAAUCGUCUGUUCUUUUUCAAGAACAAGAGAAUAAUAUUGUUUUGUGAUAACAUCGGCCUCGGAUGCUCAUAAAUACUGGAGAGAUAGUCUGCAAGAGUGAUCUUGGCUUUGAUUUCUAAAGAUCAAACCCUAGAUUUUAUUGGGGCAGUCUCAUUGGGACUCUUGGGAAAUAAACCCGAGGAUAGGAUUUAAGGUUACCCAAGGGUUGUAUGGUACGAUUUUGGCGCAGUUUGGAGCUGGAACACCGGUGGCAAUGGUGGGCUAGGGUUCAAGGUGAGGGAGAUGAAGUAUAGAGGGGCAUUGGGUGAACUGAAUAGUCUCUAAAACUUCAGACACUAUUAUGCGAUUGAAGAGAUAGUUCCAAGGCCGUCCGAUCAUCAAAGGUCAAUGGCC